rnacentral:rRNA from 1 species
CCUACGGGGGGCUGCAGUCGAGAAUCAUUCACAAUGGAGGAAACCCUGAUGGUGCGACGCCGCGUGGGGGAAUGCAGGUCUUCGGAUUGUAAACCCCUGUCAUGUGGGAGCAAAUUAAAAAGAUAGUACCACAAGAGGAAGAGACGGCUAACUCUGUGCCAGCAGCCGCGGUAAUACAGAGGUCUCAAGCGUUGUUCGGAAUCACUGGGCGUAAAGCGUGCGUAGGCUGUUGCGUAAGUCGGGUGUGAAAGGCGGGGGCUCAACCCGAGGACGGCACAUGAUACUGGGAGACUAGAGUACAGGAGGGGGAAGCGGAAUUCGCGGUGUAGCAGUGAAAUGCGUAGAUAUCGAGAGGAACACUGGUGGCGAAGGCGGGUCCCUGGACAGUAACUGACGCUGAGGCACGAAGGCGAGGGGAGCAAAAAGGAUUAGAUACCCUUGUAGUC